CCUACGGGUGGCAGCAGUGAGGAAUAUUGGUCAAUGGACGAGAGUCUGAACCAGCCAAGUAGCGUGAAGGAUGACUGCCCUAUGGGUUGUAAACUUCUUUUAUAUGGGAAUAAAAUGUUCCACGUGUGGGAUUUUGUAUGUACCAUAUGAAUAAGGAUCGGCUAACUCCGUGCCAGCAGCCGCGGUAAUACGGAGGAUCCGAGCGUUAUCCGGAUUUAUUGGGUUUAAAGGGAGCGUAGGUGGAUUGUUAAGUCAGUUGUGAAAGUUUGCGGCUCAACCGUAAAAUUGCAGUUGAAACUGGCAGUCUUGAGUACAGUAGAGGUGGGCGGAAUUCGUGGUGUAGCGGUGAAAUGCUUAGAUAUCACGAAGAACUCCGAGUGCGAAGGUAGUUCACUGGACUGCAACUGACACUGAGGCUCGAAAGUGUGGGUAUCAAACAGGAUUAGAUACCCGAGUAGUC
rnacentral:rRNA from 1 species